AAAAUCAGGAAGUACUGUUUUACACAUAGGACCUGCUCAAAGGAACACACAAUGCAACCACAUGGACAUUUGUACUGCUCGGACUGGCCUUUGUCUGCCUUCUUGUUGGUUUUCUUCUCCUGGGAAUGGGAGCCAUGGCAAAUAAGAGCAGGAAGAAGAUAGCAGAGUACAAGGCUGCAACAUCUCUGCUUCAGAAAAAUGAAGAUCAGGAGCUGCUCAAAGAAAACAGCACACACCCAGCAUCAGACAUGCCACUGCAGGGAAACAAGCCUCACAUGUCCAACAGUGACACAAACGAGCAGAGCAAUGCAGGAAAUAUUGUGGUCACAUGGAAAGAUGGCAACACCUCCUGCCUGUACCCAGAUCCUGCGGUGGAAGAGAAACAGGAGGAAGAGAGGAAAGAGAAAAUAACAGCUGCUGAGCUCGACUCUCCAGAUGAAGUGAAGAUUAUGAGCUGAAGAGGUCACAGUGAAUACCAGCGGCAGUGUUUGCUUUAAUAAUUGAUCAUAAUUUUCUGAUUAUUCUUAUUUUCAUGACUUCAGAGUGAAAUUUUAUGAAACCCUCAAAUGAUCAGAAAACAUUUCUCUUUUUUAUUCAUUCCUAAUAAAGCUCAUAACAGUGGUGGUUGCGCUCAUAAAAUGUGUCCACGUGGGAACAAAAGUUGUAUAAAAAUGGUUCCCUGUAAAGGUAUUCUAUAAAAACAGUUUCUGGAUGCAAGUUCAGAUCUGCUUAUGUGUGCUUCCCCCAAUGGGCUUCGCCAUUGUUAGUUUUGGGGUGGCUAAAGGAGGCAGCUCUGCCCCUGCUGAUGGUUCAGUUUCUAGGGCUCCUCUCUUGUGGUGUUGAUGAUGAUUUCUGGUUUGAUGGGCUGCAAAGUUGCUUUCAAUAAGGUUCUGUCCACAGGGAGUCUGACAAAUAGACACCGAAUGUUCUAGUCUUCCUCCAUCCUGUGUUGUGAACUGAAAUGGGAAAAACUUAAUGAGAUUUGAGUACUUUUGUGUGUUGUGCUGAUGCCUCAGAUAUUAUUGCAUCACAAUAAAUCACUUGCUUUGA